rnacentral:rRNA from 1 species
AGAGUUUGAUCCUGGUUCAGGAUGAACGCUAGCGAUAGGCCUAACACAUGCAAGUCGAGGGGCAGCACAUGAAGUAGCAAUACGGAUGGUGGCGACCGGCGCACGGGUGAGUAACGCGUAUGCAACCUGCCUACAACAGGGGGAUAACCCGUUGAAAGACGGACUAAUACCUCAUAAUACAGGGGUUCCGCAUGGGAAUAUUUGUUAAAGAUUAAUCGGUUGUAGAUGGGCAUGCGUUCCAUUAGCUGGUUGGAGAGGUAACGGCUCACCAAGGCAACGAUGGAUAGGGGGACUGAGAGGUUUAUCCCCCACACUGGUACUGAGACACGGACCUGACUCCUACGGGAGGCAGCAGUGAGGAAUAUUGGUCAAUGGACGCAAGUCUGAACCAGCCACGUCGCGUGAAGGAAGACGGCCCUACGGGUUGUAAACUUCUUUUGUAAGGGAAUAAAGUGAGUCACGAGUGACUUUUUGCAUGUACCUUACGAAUAAGGAUCGGCUAACUCCGUGCCAGCAGCCGCGGUAAUACGGAGGAUCCGAGCGUUAUCCGGAUUUAUUGGGUUUAAAGGGUGCGCAGGCGGGAGAUUAAGUCGGCGGUGAAAUUUUGCAGCUCAACUGUAAAAGUGCCUUCGAAACUGGUAUCCUUGAGUGUGGAUGAAGUAGGCGGAAUUUGUGGUGUAGCGGUGAAAUGCAUAGAUAUCACGAGGAACUCCGAUUGCGCAGGCAGCUUACUAAGCCAUAACUGACGCUCAGGCACGAAGGCGUGGGGAUCAAACAGGAUUAGAUACCCCGGUAGUCCACGCAGUAAACGAUGAUUACUGGNUGUUUGCGAUAUACAGUAAGCGGCUGANNGAAAGCGUUAAGUAAUCCACCUGGGNGUACGUUCGCAAGAAUGAAACUCAAAGGAAUUGACGGG